rnacentral:pre_miRNA from 1 species
CUAUUACUCCCUCCGUUCCAAAUUACUUGUCGCAGAAAUGGAUGUAUCUAGAACUAAAAAAUGUCUAGAUACAUCCAUUUCUAUGACAAAUAAUUCCGAACGAAGGGAGUAGGUG